rnacentral:tRNA from 1 species
GAAUUGUGGCCCAAAGGUAGACCGCUCGCCUAGCAUGUGUGAGGUACUAGGUUCGAUCCUCAGCAACA